rnacentral:rRNA from 1 species
UACGUAGGGUGCAAGCGUUAAUCGGAAUUACUGGGCGUAAAGCGUGCGCAGGCGGUUUUGUAAGUCUGACGUGAAAUCCCCGGGCUCAACCUGGGAAUUGCGUUGGAGACUGCAAGGCUGGAGUCUGGCAGAGGGGGGUAGAAUUCCACGUGUAGCAGUGAAAUGCGUAGAGAUGUGGAGGAACACCGAUGGCGAAGGCAGCCCCCUGGGUCAAGACUGAC